CAGCGGUUCCUUUGUCCGCGAUCAUGUCGGAACCGGAGCUCUCGGCAGGCCACGUCCAGUUGGAUAGCAGACCUAUAUUAUCCACCAAAGAUGGAAAUCAGAACUUCACGGAAGUAGAUGCAUUCCAUACAAGGUAAAGUUCCGGCAGCAGACAGAGAUGA